rnacentral:rRNA from 1 species
ACUCAAAUGAAUUGACGGGGGCCCGCACAAGCAGUGGAGCAUGUGGUUUAAUUCGAAGCAACGCGAAGAACCUUACCAAGACUUGACAUCCCGCUGACCGGACUAGAGAUAGUCUUUCCCUUCGGGGCAGCGGUGACAGGUGGUGCAUGGUUGUCGUCAGCUCGUGUCGUGAGAUGUUGGGUUAAGUCCCGCAACGAGCGCAACCCUUACAUUGUGUUGCCAUCAUUUGGUUGGGCACUCACAAUGGACUGCCGGUGACAAACCGGAGGAAGGCGGGGAUGACGUCAAAUCAUCAUGCCCCUUAUGUCUUGGGCUACACACGUGCUACAAUGGGCGGUACAAAGGGAUGCGAAGCCGCGAGGUGGAGCCAAUCUCAUAAAGCCGUUCGUAGUUCGGAUUGCAGGCUGCAACUCGCCUGCAUGAAGCCGGAAUUGCUAGUAAUCGCGGAUCAGCAUGCCGCGGUGAAUUCGUUCCCGGGCCUUGUACACACCGCCCGU